rnacentral:rRNA from 1 species
AUUGAACGCUGGCGGCAUGCCUUACACAUGCAAGUCGAACGGUAACGCGGGGCAACCUGGCGACGAGUGGCGAACGGGUGAGUAAUGCAUCGGAACGUGCCCAGUUGUGGGGGAUAACUGCUCGAAAGAGCAGCUAAUACCGCAUACGACCUGAGGGUGAAAGCGGGGGAUCGCAAGACCUCGCGCAAUUGGAGCGGCCGAUGUCGGAUUAGCUAGUUGGUGGGGUAAAGGCCCACCAAGGCGACGAUCCGUAGCUGGUCUGAGAGGACGACCAGCCACACUGGGACUGAGACACGGCCCAGACUCCUACGGGAGGCAGCAGUGGGGAAUUUUGGACAAUGGACGCAAGUCUGAUCCAGCCAUGCCGCGUGCGGGAAGAAGGCCUUCGGGUUGUAAACCGCUUUUGUCAGGGAAGAAAUCUUCUGGGUUAAUACCUCGGGAGGAUGACGGUACCUGAAGAAUAAGCACCGGCUAACUACGUGCCAGCCGCCGCAGUAA